rfam:Arthrobacter woluwensis strain DSM 10495 genome assembly, contig: Ga0074710_13
GCGAUAGUAGCUCAGUUGGUAGAGCGCCGUCCUUCCAAGUCGGGAGCCUGGGUUCAACUCCCAGCUAUCGCU